GAUGAACGCUAGCGAUAGGCCUAACACAUGCAAGUCGAGGGGCAUCACAUGAAGUAGCAAUACGGAUGGUGGCGACCGGCGCACGGGUGAGUAACACGUAUGCAACCUGCCUUCAACAAGGGGAUAACCCGUUGAAAGACGGACUAAUACCCUAUAACACAGGGGUCCCGCAUGGGAAUAUUUGUUAAAGGACAACCGGUUGAAGAUGGGCAUGCGUUCCAUUAGCUGGUUGGUGAGGUAACGGCUCACCAAGGCAACGAUGGAUAGGGGAACUGAGAGGUUUAUCCCCCACACUGGUACUGAGACACGGACCAGACUCCUACGGGAGGCAGCAGUGAGGAAUAUUGGUCAAUGGACGCAAGUCUGAACCAGCCACGUCGCGUGAAGGAAGACGGCCCUACGGGUUGUAAACUUCUUUUAUACGGGAAUAAAGUGCCCCACGCGUGGGGUUUUGCAUGUACCGUAUGAAUAAGGAUCGGCUAACUCCGUGCCAGCAGCCGCGGUAA
rnacentral:rRNA from 1 species